rnacentral:lncRNA from 1 species
AUCGACGGCUCCUCCUCCCUCCCUCCCUCCAUCGAUUACGCCGUGCAAUUGUUUACAUGUAAUCUUCUCCAACCCGCCCGAUCGGGCCGAGUUGACAACCUAUUCGGGACGGGCAGCAAUCGCUUCUUGUUUGGUAGGGAUCAGUUUUGACCGCCGUCUCAUCGUUCGCUGCGAUAUCCUCUAUGUAUGUUUCCAACCAAUAAUCACAGCAGAGCAUAGCUAUCGGGGACUUUUGCCGCUCCUCGUCGAUUUUUACCCUGAAUGAAUAUCUUGGUCCGCAUCGCUGCUGUAUCCGUGCGUGUUCUCCCAAUUAUUAUUAUUAUUAUUAUUAUCAUUAGGUCGCCAAUGUCUUAACCAUCCACCAGCGUUGUCAGAUCCACUCAGCCGUAUCAACAAGCAGAGUCAAAUCAGGGCCAAAAUUACUUUGAGACCAACCAUGUGAAACUUGUUGCUCUGCUCUGGUCUGCUCUGCUUUCGCAGCAAACAGAGCUUUUCUCAUCUCUGCUUCGCCACCCAGUCUCACUUGUACACCCACUUGUUCUCCAGCGGAGGAGCACCGCCUUUCCGUUUCAGUUCUCCUGCUCAUAUCAGUUAACUGUUUCAAUUUCUUAGACAGUGUUAACACACACACCAUGGCUUCACCGUUGGGGGGCGCCUCCACAUGCGGCAUCAACGCCGCCGUCCCAACCGGGUUCGCGGCCAAGAAGCAGCUCUCCCUCGUUUCGCCCCCGUCAGUUUCGCUGCCGCAGAGAAUCAGGCCAGGGAGGAAGUGCAGUUUCCGAGCGAACGCCGCAAAGGAGCUCUACUUCAACAAGGACGGCUCGGCUAUCAAGAAGCUGCAAGUCAGUCGAAAUCGCCGUACCAUCUUUUAUAUGCCGCCGCUUCCGUUUCAGUUUGUGAUCCCUUAUAUAUUGCUGACUUCAUUUUACCCUGUGAUCAGACUGGGGUAAACAAGCUUGCUGAUCUCGUCGGGGUUACUCUUGGCCCAAAAGGAAGGAAUGUUGUCCUUGAGAGCAAGUACGGUUCUCCUAGGAUUGUCAAUGAUGGCGUUACCGUGGCAAAAGAGGUACUCUUCUGUCAGGAGAUGUAGAACAACAUUUCUUUACCCUUCGAUCCUGACUGAGCUUUUCUCAUGAUUGGCUUCUGGACAGGUUGAGCUGGAGGACCCUGUUGAAAAUAUUGGAGCUAAAUUGGUCAGGCAAGCUGCUGCUAAGACCAAUGAUUUGGCUGGUGAUGGGACUACCACUUCUGUCAUCCUUGCCCAAGGGAUGAUUGCCGAGGGUGUUAAGGUACAGCAACAUCAAGCCGUGGGUCUUGCUACACUUUAUAGCAUAUAAGUGCUCUCAUUCUGUUCUGGACAUAAUGUUCAGUUUGUUUAAUUACUUUCUGCAGAUUGUAGCUGCCGGUGCUAAUCCAGUACAGAUUGCCCGUGGUAUUGAGAAAACAACCAAAGCACUAGUCGGUGAGCUCCGGAAGAUGUCCAAGGAGGUGAGAUAUCGCUAAUCUUUUGUUCCGUUCUGGAAAUAAAAUCUUUUAAAUUUUUGCAUUAUGCCUCCUCUGACCUAUGAUGUUCUGCAGUCACAAAUAUGAAACCAAUCUUCUAAUGCAAUAUUAGCAUGCAUCUGAUUCUUGUGACUCUGCCUCACUAUGUUACCUAUAAACAGGAUGGCUUAUUUACCUUUAUAGGCCGUAAAUGAGACAUGUUCUAUUACCCAACUGCUCUCAUAAUACAGAAUAAAUGUGAAUUCAGCAAUUGGACAUAUACUGUACAUGAUUAAGUCCACAGCAAUUGGUGCUGAACAUGACAUCACCAGGUUUUCCAAUGAACUGUGCCGCAUCAGCACAUGUAUUUUCCUUUUUUCUUCCGUUCCAAAUACACAUGCUCUGUUCUGUUUUUCCAUGUCUAUAUUUCCCCCGGAUUUCUUCUGAAAGUUAUGUGGUCUGUGAUUGACCAUCUCUCUUUUCCAGCUGAUGUUAUAAAUGCCUGAUAAUCAUGUAAUAACUAGUUAUUUUCAGGAACACUAAUCCCCAUUUCGAUCUAUUGAAAACUCAAACUUAUUGAAUUCCUCUCAAUGUUGCAGGUUGAAGAUAGCGAACUUGCUGAUGUUGCUGCAGUAAGCGCUGGAAAUAACUACGAAAUUGGCAACAUGAUAGCUGAUGCUAUGAGCAAGGUUGGGCGACAGGGGGUGGUUACACUUGAAGAAGGCAAGAGUGCCGAAAACAACCUCUAUGUGGUUGAAGGGAUGCAAUUCGACCGCGGCUAUAUUUCUCCCUACUUUGUAACCGACAGUGAAAAAAUGUCAGUGGAGUAUGAGAAUUGCAAGGUCUGUUUCUCUAUAGCUUUUUGCCACCUUCUCUACUUAAAUGUCAGUAAUCAACACCUCCAUGAGUCCUAUGCUAUUGACCUGAUUUUUUUUCCAUGACCCAGCUGCUUCUUGUGGACAAGAAAAUUAACAACGCCAGAGAUCUCAUCACUCUUCUCGAGGACGCUAUUAAGGGUGGAUAUCCAAUUUUAAUAGUCGCAGAGGAUAUUGAGCAGGAAGCUCUUGCAACUCUUGUGGUCAAUAGGCUUAGAGGUGCACUGAAGAUUGCUGCUAUUAAAGCCCCUGGUUUUGGAGAGCGCAAGAGUCAAUACCUGGAUGAUAUCGCAACUCUGACAGGAGGUAAAUUUAAUCUUUGGUGCAAAUUUGUUGUUUCUCGUUUUGAUAUUGGUUCACUUAUAAAGGUCAUUAUUGUCCCAGGCACUGUCAUCCGAGAAGAAAUAGGGCUCUCCCUGGACAAAGCAGACAAAGAAGUCCUUGGAAAUGCCGCCAAGGUUGUAAUUACUAAGGAUUCCACAACAAUUGUUGGAGAUGGUACUACACAGGAGGAAGUAACCAAAAGGGUUACACAAAUCAGGAACCAAAUUGAGGUCUGUGUAGUGUAAACUUGUAUUAUUACAUGUUUCCAGUUUUUCAUAUCCUAUUUCUCGAAUGCGCUAGGCCUCCCGAUGCAGCCCCUGUCUAUAGCCUUUUUCAUCCUAUCAAGUUAGUUAGGCUGCAGUUUCUUGUCUCUCUUUUUUUGUCAUCUUUGUUUAUUUUUCUCCUUUUGCUUCUCCUUUUUCUUUGUGUUUGGCUGUAUCUUAGCAUCAGUUGAUGCACUUCAUUACACAGACCGCAUUUUGAUGCAUGCUUGAGAAAAACAAUUUCCUAUUUGUGAAACCAUGUUCUGUUUUUCUUAUUUUUCGCAUGGCUCCUUUGUUUCUCCAGUCUCUUGGUUGCUCUGUUUUUCAUGUAUGAGUAGCUUUAGUUUUUGUGUUUUGCACGUGCCACUUGAAGUGUGAAUGAAAAUGCCUCAAGUAAUCUUUUGUUCAAACUUUUCUUUUUCAGGCUUCUGAACAAGAAUAUGAAAAAGAAAAGCUAAACGAGAGGAUAGCUAAACUAUCUGGUGGUGUUGCUGUCAUUCAGGUACUUGUGCUGUUUCAUAUUGAGCUUCCUACUGGUGCACUGGGCUGCAAUUGCAGAAUGGCAACUAGUAGUGUGGUAGCAUAAUAUAACAGCUAUACAAUGAUACCUCUUGGUUUGUUGUAGGUAGGAGCACAGACUGAAACUGAGCUCAAGGAAAAGAAACUGAGGGUUGAAGACGCGCUGAAUGCAACAAAGGUAAUGCUUCCUUUGGUGCAAGUCUAAUUAUAUUUUGGGAUUUAUGAUCUCACUCAGAGAAGCCUUCUGGUCCACUGUAGUAUUGUACCGAUUUUACUUUUACAGCGAACUCCAUGUAAUCAUUGCUUGUUAGUUGACUCCUUGCUUUGUUGACAGGCCGCUGUGGAGGAAGGUAUUGUUGUCGGUGGUGGAUGUACCCUUCUAAGGCUUGCAUCAAAAGUUGAUGCCAUUAAAGAAACCCUUGAGAAUGAUGAACAAAAGGUAUGGAAAAGGCAAACGAGAUGCUCUUUCUUCAAGUCUCCUCAUUCAAAUGCUUUUUUGGUUCGAGGUGCUGUUUUCCUCGAUCAAAAUGAACCAAUUUGUCUGUUUGCCUUUUCAAGGUUGGCGCUGAAAUUGUUAGGAAAUCCUUGAGUUAUCCACUUAAACUGAUUGCGAAAAACGCUGGUGUUAAUGGCAGCGUGGUCACUGAGAAGGUUUGGAUUCAGAUUUCUUCUGUUAUAUAAACCUGAUACCAGCAACGUGUGUGUUUCUAAUUUGGAGCGUACCUGCGUCCAGGUCCUUGUGAACGACAACUUCAGGUACGGCUACAAUGCCGCUACAGGGAAGUAUGAGGAUUUGAUGGCUGCUGGUAUUAUUGAUCCCACAAAGGUACGAGCAAACUGUGUUGACAUCUUUUUGUCUUGUCUCAGAACAUCUUUUCUCAAACUAAAUAUUUCUUUGUAAAAAUAGUGUUAUUCAAGUAAGAGGCAGGGGUUCUGUCCCUGGAAUACUGUAUCCACCCUCCGAUUUCUUUGCAAACAGUGGGCCCAUAAACUAACCUGAUUUCUCGCAAAACAGGUUGUGAGGUGCUGCUUGGAGCAUGCCGCAUCGGUGGCCAAGACAUUCAUCACCUCUGACGCCGUCGUGGUGGACAUCAAGGAAUCUGAGCAGGCACCUGCCGCAAAUCCAAUGGCCGGUUCAGGUAUGCAGAGACAACAAAAUAUGUGCUCGUUGCCAAUAUAAUAAGUUUUCAUCUAACUUUGCUGUCUACAGGUUACGGGUUCUAAUAUACGAGAAUAUCCAGCUCUGUUUUGGUGUCCCUUUGGUGCAUAUUGCGUCGGAGGUUAUACUUUGAGAAAAGAAGCGUGGAUGCUAUUGUGUCGCGGGUCAAAACCGGAAACCAUUUUGUUGUGCUAUUGUCGCGAACCAAAUGUCGGAACGUGAGUCUUCUUUACAAUUUCACACUAGAAUCUAGUCUUGAAAGAAAGUGAGCACUUUUUUUUGCGAAAAAGUCAACACUGUAUUGUAGGUAUAGUUAAUUUAUAGGUGAUGUCACCACCAAAUUAAUUUGUUUCUGAGUCUUGUGGUAAUGCUGGCUGUUGUUGCAUAUAUGCGGAACGGUGAUUGGGACUGCCUUUCUUUAUUUUUACCGGAAGGGUCUACACUGUGACUGUAGCGGGCCGGUUCUGCUUGUCUGAUGUGCGAGGCCUGGUUUGCUAUGUCCAGCCGAUCAAAUAAAUACGAUGGGCCCAUUCUGCCAAGGCCAGGCCAUCUCGCUAGUAGUAAUACUGAAAAAAAAUAGCUUCAACUUCGAGUUCACUGGCAGGCCCAAUAGCGUCGCUUGACUCACUCCACUCCUUUUUCUAUUGACGCUUGCUUAGAGAAAACAAUACACCAGCUGCUUCCUAAAAAUCAGAGACUUCAUUAUGAAAAAAACCAUCAAAUAAAAAUUUCGAAUUCAUAAAUAUGUUAACAAAAUUAAAGAAGUUUUUUUUAUAUUUUCAUUAGAAAAAUGGAAUUUUAAAGAGUUCACAUAUUUCAAAAAUGUUUUUGAUUUUUUUUACAAAUUUUAACAAGUUGACUUCCACACCAUGGGUAGCUGCUGUGGUAAAAAAGUUCACAUAUUUUGAAAAUGUUUCCAGUUCACAAUUAUGCUUGUUAGAGUGCUAUUAACAAAACAUUAUGCAUUGAUUUAUUUAGUGAGACAAUUAUGACGCACUAGUCUAUGCUACUAACUGUAUAAUGUAAAGUUUCAUGGAUGGUUGCAUUCAUUAGCUUGUAGAUUCAUAACUAAUUUAUGAGUAUGUUACCAUCAUCAUCUAUUUUUUCGUUUAAUAGUAUACAAUGUCGCCAAUAUGCCUAGUUGACAUGCCACGAGGAUGCAUAUUACUCCGAGUAUGUCUUAGUCUAAACGAGGACGAUAACAUAAUAAGUUCACUUUGUUGAUUUUUAUCAUCCAACCACCCCUGCAAAGGCGGCUUCAACCCGGCGGCCAAGGACCCGGCGCCCCCUUCCUACGGCCAUGGCUAGCCGGCGAGGCAUCGGAUCCGGUGCUCCUCGGGAGCUACGCUGUUUUUCGGCUCCUAUGGCUCGCUAGCUUCAUGGCAUCUCCGCAUCGAACUCCCUGUGGGUGCCCCUGGUUGGCUGUCCAUCCCGACACACCUUUGGUUCAGACAUGUUCUGGAAGUUGCAUCCCCUUUGGCCCUUCAGCGCUCUUGCUGUUGCGGUCCUGGUAUCCUAUAUCCGCGCUCCCAUCCAAAUCAUGGCCUUUGUGGGGCUUAUUUUAAUAUAAUCUAAUGAGGAGCAUCUAGUUGAUUUUGAAGCUACUUACAUGCACAUGCAAUCGCGAGCCCAACGGGCAGGCUUCAACAGGCUGAAGCCUGCACUUCAGAAAAUGCGAUUUUUCUACUACUAAUCUGCCUCGUUAUGGCCCGGCCCAACUAGUCCGAGCGCCCAACCCAAGUACUCACAGCAAGAUGUUCUCGUUCUCGCCAGCACAGAGAAGAGAAGCGUCGCCGCCGUCCUAACCCUAGGGCCUAGGCAACAUGCUCCUCGCCUCCUCCGAUCCUCCUGACUCAACGGCGGCACGGCGACACGGCCACCUCACGCAGGCACUACACAAGGCGCGAGCGUCGACGACAGCCUGCUGGAUUAGCGCGGCGUUGAAGGCGCCAACUCAUCGGUGAGUGGAGAAGUGGAGGCGCUGACAUCCGAUCGAACCGCCGGAGCGAGCAUUCAUGAUGAUUGGCUAAAUGAUUUGAUGAUGUGCUACCAGGAGAAAGAGAUAUUUAGAAGCAUUCAUGAUGACCAAAUCAUGAUAGAAUUCUAGAAAAUGAGGGAUCAAAAAGGACAUUUGCCUCAUGAGUUUAAUGUGAUUUCUUAGAGGUAUAGAUACCGAUGUAACUAGUUUUAAUACUUAGUUGUCCAUGACUUAUUGUUUCUUCACUAACAAGUGUGCUAAUUUGGAUAGAGGGCUUGGCGGUUGUGCCUUGGGCAUACAUUUUUAUAUUUUCGUGUGGAGGUGUACUAUAACUACAAUACCAGUUAGCAAGAGCAACAUUUUAUUGUCUUUUGUUGUUGCUUCUCUUGUACUUUGAUGUCUUGAUUACUCUAAUUGUAUUAACAUUUUGAGUAUGGCUAAACAUGUUACUAGUACUGGCCUUGAAAAUUGUCAUUGUUGUUUUGAGCACUACUUUGGCACAUAUUGUCUUCGCAAUGUUAAGCUUUAUGCACUAGCCAACGCAACCAAAAGUCCGAACUGAUGGAAAGGGCUAGGCAAUCCACAUAUAGUGUAGCACCCCCUUUCACGUGUGACGGGGAAGAGAAGUCAACACGUGUAACCGGAAGAGAGCGACGGCGCGCGAAGGUCAUGUAUGACUCAAGAGGCCUCUACGUGGACACAAAGGGGGGCUACCAGCAAUUUUUAAUAAAUUGCGAAAGCCAGGACUUGAACUCAAGACCUUAGCUCUGAUACAACUCACGUAUGAUUCAAGAGGCCUCUACGUGGACACAAAGGGGGCUACUAGCAUUUUUUUAAUAAAUUGCGAAAACCAGGACUUGAACUCAAGACCUUAGAUCCGAUACCAUAUUAAGCUUCGUGCACUAGCAAACGCAACCAAAAGUCCGAACUGAUGGAAAGGGCUAGUGCAAUUCACAUAUACUGUAACAUCCCUCUCACGUGUGACCGGGAAGACAAGUCAACACGCGCAACCGGAAGAGAGCGACGGCGUGCGAAGCUCACGUAUGACUCAAGAGGCCUCUACGUGGACACUUAGGGGGGCUAUCAACAAUUUUUAAUAAAUUACGAAAGCGAGGACUUGAACUCAAGACCGUAACUCCGGUACCAUGUUAAGCUUCAUGCACUAGCCAACGCAACCAAAAGUCCGAACUGAUGGAAAGGGCUAGGCAAUCCACAUAUAGUGUAACACGCAAUACCAAUAUUUAGCUCGAGAUUCAAUAUUAAAAAAAAAUCAAAAGCUUUCCAGUAAAUAUUACUCCCUCCGUCCCGAAACAAGUGUCGAUGCUUUAAUACAAAUUUUGUACUAACUUAGUAUAAAAUUUGCUUCACUUAUUUUAGGACAGAGGAAGUACAUGUUUCCAGUAGUAUUCUGGGAAAGUAUGAGCACAUUUGGACAAAUGACCUAGGAGAUGCUGGCUAUUUAGCUAAUCAUAUUCAAAAUAUAGUUUAUAAUUUAAUAUUUUUCAAAAAUUCCAAAACAAAUCCAGUAAAUACUUCAUGCUUCCAAUAGUAUUCUGAAAAAAGUUUGAGCACAUUUGAACAAAUGGACUAGGAGAUGAUUUUGUUUCUCAUUUUUUGCACCGUUAACUUUGAACCCCAUUUUCUUUCUGGAUUCGGCACUGUGCAUAUGCAUCUGCAUCAGUCAUGGGACACAUGCUGCACAGUUCUUUUGAUCAAAUCUAGCAAGUGGAUAAACAUAUUUAUAUAUACUAGAUAAAAGCAAGUUGAUUCUGACUCACGCGCGCAGAGGUCGGAUCUGACCCAAUUAAUCAGAUCGAUGGUGUAGUCACCUCCACGGAUGACUCUCUAUAAUAACUAGUGCCAACCCGGCUGGUGAUCUAAGCAGGUAGCUAACUGUGGUAGUACUACGUACUCAGCUAGCAAGCAAUGGUGGCUAUGGGUAUGUAUUCCACAAAGCGUGGCGUUGUGUGGUGCGCCGGCCUGCUCGUCGUCGCCGGGCUUCUUAUCGCGGUCGCGGCAGCGGAUGCAGAUUUCUGCUGCGAGGAAUGCCGCGGCGACACCGAUUCCUUGGGGGGUUGCGUCCGCCGGUGCAGAUCUCCUCAGCUUGAGGUUGCACGGCCGACGAACUGCGUCGCCCUCUGCCAUGCCAAGCCCAACUUCAUGGCCUGCUGCAAGUAUGUCCGACGAGCGACUCCGCGUCUCCGCCGGGCCGGCGGGGAAUCAACGACGCAUGAAGAAGAAGAAGAAGCAAGCGGAGGAGCAGUGCGCGUCCUGAAGGCGCCGGCCCCGGCGCCGUGUGAAGUGCUCUGCCGCGACCAGCCGGACUGGGUGGCCUACCAGCGGUGCCUCGAUCGCUGCCGAUGGGGAGCGUGUCUCCGACGAGCGCUUCUUCAUCUUGAGCUUGCCGGCAGGGAGUCAGCGACACAUGAACAAGUCCUGACGGCCAUGGCGGUGCGGCUCUCGGAUGCAUGCCAGGACUCGUGCCAAAACCACGCGCACUAUGACUGGUGCGUCCGUCGCUGCCGGUUUGGGCCGCAUCUCAGGCUUGCCGGUGGCGGUGGGGAACCAGAAGAAGCCGGCGGGGGAGCAGUUGAUGUUCCCCAGACGGUGGGUCAACGACACAUGAAGAAGAAGAAGAAGAAGACGGUGGCGGGGGCACGGCCGAUGGACUCUACCGACCCGUGCGAGGGCUACUGCGUGGAGCAAACGCGUUAUUUCCCCAGGCCCGGGCAGUUCUACGAUUGCGUCGAGGAGUGCCACGCCGGCCAUGGUCGGCUCGCCGUCGACGGCAGGAAUGGGAUCCUCCGUCGCGUCGAGCGGGAACCAGAGACGACGGAUGACCAGGUGCAGCUUGGCAGCGGCGGCAGGAAUGGUGAGGCUGCUGUUGCUGCUGCAGGAGCACAAGCGAUGAAUACCGAGUCGUGCGAGGCCUACUGCAAAAGGCAUGCCCGAGAUUUCCCCCCCAAGUACGCUGCCUGCGUGCGCCAGUGCCAGUCAGGUGGGCACCCCGGGGACGGCAUAGCCGCCCGUGUCAGGCAGGAACGGCACAAGAAGGACGGCAAGAAGAUAGCCAUCGAAUAGGCCUGCCCAUUUGCCUUCGUUGUAUUGAGCUUAGCUAGCUAGCCAGCUCGUGUUCUUCUUUUCUUUGUCCACAUAAAAUAAUGGUCGGCUACUAGGGGGCCGUCGGCACUGCCACGCCGUGCCAUUGUUUGCUUUAAUUCUGUUUGCUGAAACAAAGCUUCCAUGACUUCUACGGUGAGGUUUUCAAAUUUGGCUAUCAGACAUGUUCUCGAGGGGCACACGUCCGCAUCUAGAUAGUUGACUAAAGCAUUAAUUGCACGCACAAUAGCAAUACACAGAGAUGCGACUCAUGAUACUCCCUCAUCACAGUUUAUAAGACAUGCACGUGUACCUAAGUCAUCAAUUUGACUUAUAUAAAAUAUAUUGUUUAACAUAAAAAUUAUAUCAUUAGAAAAUAGAACAUCUAAAGUUUCUGAUGAUAUAUUUUUUAUAAUAUAUGCCUCUUAUAAACUGAAACGGAGGGAGUAAUAUAUAUCUUGUGAGUUUAUCGAAGCAUGUGUAUACAUAUUCUUUCUGGAUGUAUUUUUUUUAUUAUUUCUGAUAUUCAUUGUACUGUUAUGAUUAAAGAUGAAUAGAUCAAAGUUUUUCUGCAAAACGAAAGUAUUCCCUCCUUCUCCAACAAAGUGAAUAUACACGUGAUCAGUGGCGGAUACAAGCCUAGGGCAAAUAGGGCUAUAGCCCUAGGUUUAGUGGCAAUAGUCUUUGUAUUAUCUUCCUACAAAGUACAAAAAAUCUUUAAAGUACACCAGCCAAGCUAAUUUAGCCCUAGUCGUAACCCUAUGCUAAUUCCGCCCCUGCACAUGAUUAUGGCUGUGAUAGUCUUGAAAUUACCAAGAGACUCACUAAAUUCGUUGAUGCAAUCAAGUCCACGCGCGAAAACAAGUUCACUGCCGGUACUGAAGUAUAUCAGUAUCUGUCGUGGGUAUAAGCCUGACAAUAGAUGUGUAGGGUACGAAAGGAUGGACAGAGCCUUAGCUACGGCGAGGUUGUAUGAGUUCAGGCCCCUCUACGGUGGAGGUAAAAGUCCUACGUCUCAGUGCUCUGGGGAGCUUGUUGUCGAGUGGAAUAUGGAUUACAGUGAAUUGCUAACCCCUGCACCAGUGGGGAAGGACGGCUUAUAUAGAGUGCGCUACCCUUCACAACGGUUCGGUGCACAGGGGUGGAGUAGUGAUGAAUAAUUGCAUACGUUACAGGUAACGUAUGUCUUAAAUGCUAAUAAAGGUAUAUGGAAACGUAUGACCAUUACCCUCCAGGGGGGUUACGAUGUACAGAGUGGAAUCCAGUCGGUAAGUUUGAUACGCUCCGAAUGCUCAUCUCCGACUGGAUGAUGGAGGAAUCGUCACCGGCUGGAUGAUGGAGGAAUCGUCACCGACUGGAUGAUGGAAAGUCCUUAAUUCAGUCGGAACUGACUAAGGGCCUUGUCCUUUAUGAAGGGUAGUCCUUGGGUAGGCUCUACAAGGCAGGCCUAUGACCCUACCCUAGGACUAUAACCCCAUCAUUAGUCCCCGAAUGGAUUGGGGUUGGAACGACGAAGCGAUGCUUGGAGUACGGAUCCGACUGGUACGGAUGCGACUUUGGCGUUGUUUGCCUCGAUCCAUUUUAUCUUCUUGACCAAUGAUCCGAGUGGAUGUAUUUGUGAAAUGAACCGUCAGGGACCAAGUGCUUCCGUGGUAUCUUUUGACGUGACCAGUCAACUGACAGCGGCGGAUUUUCCGGGAUCCUCAAAUUUUGGUUGCCGCGCGCUCGGCGGGGGUGACGACAUCGUAAUCGAGUAGUAUCUGCCGCCUCAAUUUCCGCGCCUUCAUCUCCUCCACUAAUAUCGCAGCGACCGGUCGGGGGAUAAGAUUUCGGGGCCACCUGCUAGUGACCCAGUCGGAACCUUAUUUAAACCUCUACAACGAGGGUUUUUCGUUGCACUCGCCUGAUAGCUCGCACUUGCCCCGCUUCAUUCGUCACCUUCUGCGCAUCUCAAGCUCCUUCCUUCUCCUUCUCCCCCGCGGGUCUGCAGCCUCCACCAUGGCAAAGGGGCAGACGAGCAAGCUCGAGGCGCGGAAGAAGAAGGGGAAGGCGGCGGCUCCUGCUCAGCGGCGGCAGCGAGCACUGCCGGCGGGUUGGAUCCAGGGGGAUUUCCUCCCCUCCACGGUGACGGAAGAGGACAUGCUGGAGCUGGUAGAGCACGGCAUGAUCGAGCACAAGACGUGGAGGUUGCCGACGGAGGGCGAGACCGAGCCGGCGCCCCAGGAGGGGGAGCGCGUCUUGCUGCUCAGUCACGUGCACCGAGGCUUCUCUCUGCCUCCUCAUCCCUUCUUCAGAGGUAUAUUGAAGCACUUCGGGGCGCAGCUCCACCAUUUUCCUCCCAACACAAUAGCUCAUCUCUCUGCCUUCGUCGUGCUGUGCGAGUGUUUUAUCGGCUGUCCUUCCCAUUGGGGGCUUUUUAAGCACAUCUUCUCUGCUAGAUCUCAAACCAUCAAAAGGCUGAGCCAGUCGGAUGACAAAACUCACCUCCUCCAGCUCUGCGGAGGCUUAGGCUUCCAAAAGAAAAUUAAAAGUAGCUAUCCCGCUCUUCAGUUGUCUGAAUCGGUUAGGAACUGGUAGUCGACUUGGUUUUACUGCCAGGACAUUGCCGGCCCGAAUGCCGCCACUGGACUACCACCUUUUAGCUUAGACCGACCGGCUCCGCCUAGGCAGCUCACGCUCACGAAGAUGGAGAAGAUCCAGAUCCAGCCUCUGGUCGAUGCGCUUGUAGAGGUCGUCCAAAAGGGAGUCACUGGCAUAGAUUUGCUGGAGGUUUUUCUGGGUCGGCGUAUCCAGCCUUUUCAAGCUCGACACCAUGCCAUGUGGCACUACACAGGGCCUGAGGACUCCACUCGGACUAACCCCGAGUGCGUGACCGGGGAGCUGGUGGCGUCGUGGGUCCUCAACAUCACAGGCGCAUGCGAUAAUCCCAGAGGAGCUCGGCGAGUGAAGCCCUUCCACGCGGACAACCCUCCUCCGAAUGAGGUGAGUAUAACUUGUCGAGUGCACCCAAUUGUCUUAGAUUUAUCGCUUUUUCUUGUAUUAUUGUUUGACGUCUGAUGUUGUCGACUGUAUCUCGUGCAGGCAUGGACCAACUGGUUUUCUCCUGUCUCGAACUGGAAUCCGGCCGAGGAGGAGGAAGGUAGCCAGGAGGGCGGCGUGGAGAGCGUCGAGUACGUCUCCGACAGUGGAGAGACGGAGGAGGAGUCCGAAGAAGAAGGGGGGGGGGAGAUGNNNNNNNNNNNNNNNNNNNNNNNNNNNNNNNNNNNNNNNNNNNNNNNNNNNNNNNNNNNNNNNNNNNNNNNNNNNNNNNNNNNNNNNNNNNNNNNNNNNNNNNNNNNNNNNNNNNNNNNNNNNNNNNNNNNNNCCUCGAACCAAACGUCGCCACGAACCCGUGGCUCCGUCGGCUCCUCCAGCGGCCUCGAGUGCCCCGCCAGCUCCUCCUGUGGUUCCGAGUGACUUGCCAGCUACUCCCGUGGUUCCGAGUGCUCAGAGCACAAAGAGGACUAGGGACUCUGCUGCUGAGCCCGCGGGCCAGCCCUCUAAGGUGGCCAAACUGAGUGGAUCCAAGCCUCGGAAGGCUUUGCCGCGGAUGAGGAUCGCCGUUCCCGUCGCCUCAGCGUAAGUGCAUUGUUCUUCUAUCUUCUUCUAGUAUUUGAUUGAACUCAUGCUUAUCGGUCGAAUGAAUUUAACUUGACAGAGCUGCCACCUCCGCCACUUCUGUGCCGCGCCAGGAAGACGAUCCCAUGGAUACGGACAAUGUUGUCACGUCCCAGCAAGGUAUGUCGUGGCGACUCCGAGAGCUUACAUUAUUGUUUCGCAAAUUCCGUCUUUGGUCUUGCCCUUUUUUUUGUGGUCUCACGUCGUUUGGUCGGGCUUCCUUCAAAGGUGAUCCAUGUGGAGGACGAUGACCAGAAGAGGUCCGAGCAAGCUGUGGCGCGUGUCCUUGAGGCUGUUCCGUCUGUUACUACCCCCGCCAUGGACGCGCCGCCAACUGAGACGAUACCGUCGACUGACACGACGCUCAUCGUUGCUGAACCGACUGGAGCAGGACUUGGGAUGCCCAAGGAGUCUCUUGUGGUGCCAGGUCUUUCGACCGUCCAGUUCGACGCCCGGCGCCUUCCGGAGGAUCAGGUGGGAGCUGCCAAGGGGGCCAUGGUGCAGGCGGAGUUGAUGGCGGGUGAUGCCAAGAGAGCGUACGACUCCAUCGCGUCUGUGUACAAGCGAAGCUUGGAACUCCGGGACGAUAUCCGAGUAAGUGGGCUAGUAAGUAUUUGCUUUCCCCUUUAACCCACUGGGUGUUUAAGCCAGAUACUCGGAUACAGAAUGAUUAGUUUGCGGUGGGUUCACUCUUAGUGAACCCAGUGGGUGUAGUCCCCGAGACUUCUGUCGAGUGCUUGCACCGGCAGUUGUCUUUAUAUAAAUUUUCUUUUAACUUGAUCAGAUCAAAACUAAUCUGCUCGAAUGUUACCGGUGGGGGCAUUCCGAGUGCACCUACUGGUUUAGUCCCCGAGAGUAAUUUUACUUAGGUCGGGUAGUAGUAACCUCAUAGGCUUGUUUUUUGUUAUGUAUCUCAAUACGGCGGACCUGUUUGAGCUUCAUGCCAGUGGGGCCACUCUUAGUGAACCCACUGGGUGUAGUUCCCGAGACUGCUGUCGACUGCUUGCGUCGGCAGGGGUCUGAAGAACUUCGAGUUUGUAUUGUUGUCUUUGUUGAAUUUGUCUGAUCGUCUCUUCGCGCUGACUUGCAGAAGACUUGCGAGAUGGGAUCAGCGUACGAAACUCUGAGAGCUGAAAAGAUUCAGUUUGCUGCGGAACUGGAUGCAGCAAUGCUUGCCUUGGCUGGUAUGAAGGGUGUUCUGGCUGAACGAGAGAAGUCCUUGGAGGAGUCCCGUGAGGCAAACAAGGCAUUGGUGGCCGAAGUGGAGAAAAUGGGGAAACAAAGAACUGAGCUGAUGGGACAGAUGCAGGUGAUGAACAGGCGGUGCAUAGCACACGAGAAGUACGUCAGUGACUGGGCAAGGCAGAUGAUUGCGCUUCUCGGUGGUAAGUUCUGUUUUUCCGAGUGUUUGUUGACUGUGUAGUUCAUUCUGCACUUACUUGCUGCUCGUCUUGUCAUUGCAGAUUUUUGUAUGGACGCUGAGGCUGAAGCAGCUGACGUGGAGCGGUCGGUUAUUCCGAACGUUCCACGCGGCGAUGACGCCAAUCGAGACAUGCUGCGAGCGCACAUUCGCCUGGGUAAAGUGGGACCUUUCAUCGGUCGACUGAGAGAGGUCGUCGGCCGAAUCGACAAGGAGCUGUGGCCCGAAGACGAGUCUCGGCAAGAGAUGGAAGGGUUGAUGACUCGGCUGGAGGAGGUCCCUAACCGAGUGCAGGCGUGGAAGAAGUCUGUGACUCGCUGUGGUGCGGAUGUGGCGCUGUCCUGGUCCGAGUGCACUGCAAGGAGGCUCGCGAAGAGAAGCUGAAGGCGUUGGAGGUCGCAAACACCAAGAAGCUUCGAUUCGAAGAUUUCAUGGAGACCUUCCUUGAGAGCGCCACUCGCAUCGCAGAGGGGAUUGACCUCGACACUUUCGUGGAGCCUGCCAGUCCCAGUGCCAGUCCUGAUGACUCUUGAGAAAACUUUUACCUCGGUAUGCCGAUUGUUAGCUGUAUGAAACUUUGGCCACUGCUGUUGGCCGUCACAUUCGUGGUUCGGUGUGGAUAAGCUUGAUCUACACCGAACCAACUAUCUUUAGACGAACUUUGAAUUUGAAUCAAAUCUUUUGCUCUUCCUUUGCCAAAGAGUUGUUGACACGAUUUUGGCUCGUGGUUUUUGUUUGGCGUUUCUUGGUGAAGUCAAUGGCAAACAUGCGGAGCAUGUAAUUGUCAGUUGUCUUGAUAUCUGCAUGAGCCUCACUGAGGGUCUGCUGGGUCUCCGAGUGGAUCUGUAGGAUACACUCGAAGGCAAUUGUGUACUUAGGCGAUUCGUGAUCGCGGCUAAGUCUUCGAGUGCGACUGUAAGGUCGUACUCGGAGCGAGUUGUUACUCAUGUAAUUGUUAGUUGUCUUGACAUCUACAUGAGCCUCAAUAAGGUUCUGCUACUCAUGUAAUUGUCAGUUGUCUUGACAUCUACAUGAGCUUCAAUGAGGGUCUGCUGGGUCUCCGAGUGGAUCUGUAGGAUACACUCGAAGGAAGCUUUCUAUUUAGGCGAUUCUUGAUCGCAGACAAGUCCCCGAGUGCGACGUUUAGUGCACAUUCGGAGAAAGUUAGUACUUAGGCGAUUCUGGAUCGCGUCUAAGUCUCCGAGUGCGACGUUUAGUGCACACUCGGAGAAAGUUUGUANNNNNNNNNNCUUCGAGUGCGACGUUUAGUGCACACUCAGAGAAAGUUCGUACUUAGGCGAUUCUUUAUCGCAGCUAAGUCUCCGAGUGCGACGUUUAGUGCACACUCGGAGAAAGUUUGUACUUAGGCGAUUCUUGAUCGCAGCUAAGUUUUUUUUUUGAGACCGGAGUCUGCGACCGCGAAAGAAUUUUGAAUCUGCAAAAACUCAAUCUGCUUUGUAUUACUUCAACGAUACUUGUUCUUUACAUUGCUUCAGUCGAUGGUCACGUGUAGAAGCGCUUCAGGAGAUCUCCGUUCCAUGUUCACGGCUCGUCCGUUUCCCUGUCGAGGUUGUAGAGUCGAUAUGCUCCGUUGUUCAGCACCUUGGAGAUGAUGAAGGGUCCUUCCCAGGCGGGAGCCAACUUGUGAGGUCUCUGCUGAUCCACUCGGAGCACGAGGUCGCCUGUUUGGAAUGUACGACUCCUGACGUGCCGCGCGUGAAAACGCCGCAGGUCUUGUUGAUAAAUGGUUGAGCGAGUCAGUGCCAUCUCGCGCUCCUCCUCUAGAAGAUCCACUCCGUCUUGCCUUGCUUGCUGUGCUUCAGCUUCGGAGAAGAGUUCAACUAGUGGAGCGUUGUGAAGCAAGUCACUCGGAAGGACUGCCUCUGCUCCGUAAACGAGGAAGAACGGGGAUCGCCCUGUAGAUCUGUUUGGGGUGUGCGGAGACCCCAAAGCACCGAAGGCAGCUCGGUGACCCAUGCGCCGGCGGCAUGCCCCACUUCUCGCAGGAGUCGAGGCUUCAAACCUUGCAGAAUAAGUCCAUUCGCCCGCUCUGCUUGCCCGUUUGUUUGGGGAUGUGCCACAGAUGCAAAAUCGACUCAGAUACCUUGGCAUGUACAGAAACUUUUGAAUCUGUCCGAGUCAAAGUUUGUUCCAUUGUCAGUGAUUAUGCUGUGAGGUACCCCGAAUCUGGAGAUGAUGUCCGUGACAAACUUGAUGGCCGUAAGGGCGUCGAGCUUUUUGAUGGGCUUGGCUUCAAUCCACUUUGUGAACUUGUCGACUGCCACCAACAGAUGUGUGAAUCCCCCUUGGCCUAUCCUGAAUGGACCGACUGUAUCUAAUCCCCAUACUGCAAACGGCCAAACAAGAGGGAUUGUCUUCAACGCAGAUGUUGGUUUGUGGGACUUGUUAGAGUAGAACUGUCAUCCUUCACAUCGGUCGACCAUAUCUUUCUCCAUUUCAUUCGCGUGCAGCCAAAAGAAGCCAGCUCUGAAUGCUUUGGCGACGAUUGCCCUUGAGGAGGUGUGAUGACCGCAGGUUUCCGAGUGAAUUUCUUCCAGGAUUAACUAUCCCUCCUCAGGGGAGAUGCAUUGUUGAAGGACGCCUGAAACGCUUUCUUUGUACAACUGGCCAUCAAUGACAGUGAUCACAACGCCAGCGUCGGAGCCAUUCAACAUCUUGGACCCAUCGAAGAACAUUGUCCAAUGAGCCGAGUAGAUGUGGGUCGGUUGCUGUUGUUCUACCCAUUCUACUAUGAAGUCAGCCAGAGCUUGAGACUUUAUAGCUUUCUUGGCCUCGAACCUGAUGUCGCAGUAUAACAUCUCCAUUGCCCAUUUCGCCACUCGGCCCGAUGCGUCCCGAUUGUGUAGGAUUUCCGACAACGGAGCAUCAGAAACGACGGACACCGAGUGGUCUUGAAAAUAAUGAGCCACCUUCUUCGCAGUCAUGUAAAUCCCGUAGAUAAGUUUUUGAUAAUGGGGAUACCUCUGCUUGGAAGGAGUCAGGACUUCGGAGACAUAAUACACUGGCCGCUGAACCUUGUAUGCUUUGCCUUCUUCUUCCCGUUCGACUGUGAGAACAGUGCNNNNNNNNNNNNNNNNNNNNNNNNNNNNNNNNNNNNNNNNNNNNNNNNNNNNNNNNNNNNNNNNNNNNNNNNNNNNNNNNNNNNNNNNNNNNNNNNNNNNUAACACAUUGAUCGGACAUGUCAAUCAUCACAAUGCUAUUUCUCGCCAUUUGUGAGUCGUAAAUUUCCUAGCCUACAACGCAACGGCCGUUACUGGGUGGACCCAGGAUUGCGUAACACAUUGAUCGGACAUGUCAAUCAUCACAAUGCUAUUUCUCGCCANNNNNNNNNNAUCAAAAACGCUGGUGUUAGCGGACCCAGGAUUGCAUAACACAUUGAUCGGACAUGUCAAUCAUCACAAUGCUAUUUCUCGCCAUUUGUGAGUCGUAAAUUUCCUAGCCUACAGCGCCACGGCCACUACUGGGCGGACCCAAUAAUGCAGUUGUACGUGAGUUUUUUUCUGUGUUUUUCAAUGUUCUGCAUAGAUUAUAUACACAAUGAACAUGUCGAAUAUAUUAAAUGACUGUAUUGUCAUAAAUAUAUAUGUUUUUAAGGUCUAUUUUUUCAUACACAUUGUACAUUUUUUUUAGAUCUAAAAUAUAUUUUUAUACAUGUUAAACCUUAAAAAAAUGCAUGAUUGUCAUUUUUCCAAAUACUGUUUGAACAUUGUUUAGAAUAGGUGUCAAUUUUUUUAAAUGCAUGUCCCAAACAUGUUUUUUUCAAUGUUAUGAAAGACUUGAGCAUUUUUUAAAUGUCUCAUCUUGAAUCUGAUGGACCUAAGAGUAAUAUAUUGCUUAGUCACUUGCUGCAAUCACACCAGUUAUCCUUUACCACGCUUACAAGUAUUAUUUUUUAAUACAGAAUACUGUAAAGGAGACACCUAUAGUGGAAUUGGUGCAACAAACUCAAAUUACAAAUACCGUGUCUAGAAUCUGCAUGUGUGGGAAGGCAUCAACCCCUUUUUACCACUAGGCUAUGCCUUAGUAUGCACCUAUAAGUAUUAUUAAUUCUAGUACAAUUGAUAAUGAGACAUGCUAAGUACCCAUAGUACUCACCCUUGACACAACAACAACAACAAUAACAAGUACAUGUUAGGCCUUGUACAAUGCAAGUUGCUUGAGAAAAUAAAUCAGCUUUUUUUUAAGCACCAAUGCUUAUUUGUAUAGGAAAGACGCCUAAUUAAGCGUCUAUCUUGUAUGAAUAAGCACCCAUGCCUACAGAAACAUUGGUUUCUAAUUAAGCACCGAUGCUUAACAACAUAUGUUUUAUUGUCUCGUCAUGAGCACAACAGCAACACUGCUUACUUCCUCGCCAGUUGCACCAUACAAGAUUGGCUUUGGUUAGCACAACUCUCCUAUGAAGAUAACAAAUGAAGAUAUUAACUUUUAGAGGAAUCUUCGACUUCUAAAUUUUCUUGUUAUUACGCACUAGUAUCUCAUAAUGUGUGAGCACACGAUACAUAGAGUCUAUAGUGAAAGACCCCGAUGUAAUAAGGUUCUAGCAAAAAAACAUCUCGACCUUGUGUUAUGUUAAGCAAAUCCAGACGGGAUAAAAGAUUAUGCCAUGACAUAAUUCAGGGGCCAAUCAAAUCCCCGCCUGAACGAAAUAUUCGGUGGGGAUGAACUGAGCACAUGGAUAAUUGUAUUAUUCUUAUCGCAAGGAAUGGUUUAUAAUGUUGGGUAUUGUUCUCGGAGACUAGCAUUGCCUAGCCAUAUGUCUUCCCAUAAAUGAAUCUUUGACCCGUCCUUUAUCACAAAAGAGUCAAAGCGAAAGAGUUGCUUCUUUGUCGUCAUUAGGCCAGCCAAAAAGUGUCAUUUGAUCUAGAUACUUGUGGCACAACAUGGUUUCCCAAACAUCAUCCUCAGUAAGAAGUUUGAACAAUCAUUUACUAUUGAGGACCACCUGCUUGACUUCUAGAUCAUGAAUACCAGGGCCACAUUUAUCUCUCGGUCUACAAACCAUGCUCUAUUUGAUCAGUCUGUAUUUUUUCUUUUCAUCGUUUCCUUAUCAAAAAAAUCUGGAUCUAAAAUAGUUAAGUCUUUGCGGCACCCCUUUUGAAAGAUGGAAAAAAGAAAGCAUAUAGACAACCAUAUUUGUGACGACAGAGUUAAUCAGAACCAGACAUGCUCCAACUAUGAGAUCUUGCCUUUUCAAUUGCUCCACCGUUUCUCUAUAUGCUCAUCUACAUGUUUGCACUCCGUAAUGUUGAGACGCCGAUAGUGAAUCGGUAUUUUCAGAUAUUUAAUCAGGAAUUAGUCAUUUCUGUAACCAAACAAGUUAGCAUAAUCGACAACUUCCUCGACAACAUCUCCAAAGAAUAAAAUUUCGCUUUUUUGAAAGUUAAUUUUAAGACCUGACAUUUGCUCAAACACUGAAAGUAAGAGUUUCAUGUUUCAAGCCUUGUUCAGGGCAUGUUUCAUAAAAAUAAUUGUGGCAUUGGCAUGUUGCAGACUAGAGAGGCCACCAUCCAAGGUAUGGCACUAUUUAUGCAAUCUGACUGUCCUGCUUCACACUCUCAAUCAAAAUAGCCAACAUGUCAAUAACAAUAUUAAAUAACAUUGGAGACAUGAGGUCACCCUGUUGUAGUCUUUUUUGUCUGAAAGUAAUGGCCAACAUCAUCAUCGGUUUUGAUGGCCACACUACCUUUAGUUAAAAAAAAAUGGAUCCAAGGAGUAAACGGUUCAUAUAGACAACACACACAUGUUAGUUCGAAUCUGAAAUCAACAUCACGUACCCACCAUAUAGAUACCUAACGAAAUCACUAGUUAGAGAAUGCACCUUCCAACGAUUAAUCCCACCUUCACAGGUUGUGACAAUUGGUGCACUGCAUGCGUGUCACUUAUCGCAACCUUAGAGUUUUCCUUUUUUUCGUAGAUCCGUAUUUUCAAAACGUUUUAUCUCCUAAACUGUGCGUUCAAAUCUCGAACCGUUUUCACCAUUGGCUUUCUCGCGUCGAGAUCUUUAAAACUAGAUCUCAUAUUGAUAGGUUUUGACGAACUUUUUUUCCAUGAAAAAACCGGAAGAAAAAAACCGGAGGAAAAAACCGUGCCUCACGUGAUAGAAAAAGAAAACAGAAAACACUGUUUUUUUCCUUUUCGAGAGGGACGGGUAGUGCCUCUCGCGAAGACAAAAUUGUGCCUCUCGCAGAAGCGAAACCGUGCCUCUCGAGGAAAAAAAGAGCAGAAAACGCGUUUUCCCCUUUUCGGGAGAGGCGGGGGCGUGCCUCUCGCAAAGGCAAAACCGUGCCUUUCACGGAAGCAAAACCGUGCCUCUCGCAAAAGAAAAAAAAACAGAAAACGCGUUUUUUUUUCUUUCGGGAGAGGUACGAAGGCAAAACCGUGCCAUUCGCGGAAGCAAAAAACCGUGCCUCUCGUAAACAAACAGAAAACACGUUUUUUUCCUUUCCGAAAGGCACGGGCGUGCCUCUCGCGAAGGCAAAACCGUGCCUUUCGUGAAAGCAAAACCAUGCCUCUCGCAAAAAAAAUGAAAAACGUGUUUUUUUCCUUUUCGAGAGGCACGGCUCGCGAACACAAAACCAUGCCUCUUGCUGAAGCAAAACCGUGCCUCUCGCAAAAAAAUAGAAAACGAGUUUUUUCGCGUAAAAAAAACGUUUUUUCACAAAAAAAAUGAUUUUUUUCGUGCAAAAGUUACAAAAGACCGGUGAAAAACCAUAACACCAAUUUUUUUUGAAAGAAACACUCAAAAAAGGCGAAAGCGUGUGUGAAAAAAUAAAAUAAAAAAUCCAGAAGGAACGAUUAGAGCGGGAUACGUGACGACGGCUGGAAAUGCGACAAGUGGGCAGCGCACGGGAGUGGUCGCUAGAACGCUCGCAAGGGAGCACUUGCGAACUAGUGGCUCCCGCGACCUAUGCACUAAAUAGGAGAUGUCUGGUAUACAUAACUUAGGUCUCAUGUCCUCACAUGUUAAAAAAAAUUAGAAUCGUGUAUUUCUUUGUCUCCAAAAAAAAUAAAAUAAAAUAAAUAAUGAGAAUUUGAGUUAGGUCCUCCUGAUCAGGUUAUAUUGGAUGAACUACAUCCACAUGUAACGACUCGUGAGUUAAUGUGAUGAUGCCAAGUAUGACAGAAAUGCAUAUCUAAGUGCUUACUGACAAAAUGUACUUAUCUAUUAUUUUACUAUUUUUUCUGGGAUGAAGGACGAAAAUAUUUGAAGGAUGAAGGAUAAAUACUCCAGCACGAACAAUUGCAAUAGAACAUAAUGACCUGCUAUUUGGAGGACCAUUUUUUAGAAAACAAUAAACGCUCACUUGUUAGAAUUGGUGGUAGUAUAUUGUAUAUGUAGUACAUAAAAUGGAUUUUAAAUGUGCUUGAAAUCAGAGAUUAAAUUUGGCGUCCAAUAAACGACACCAAAGGAUAAAAAGGAAUGUAGUAUAUUGUAUGUAUAUGUGACAAUUAGGGAAAUUCAUAUUAAAGAUUUCUUAAACUGGUCCGUGGUAGAAAGAGAGAACUAGUUCAUGCCUAGUUUGAGAUAUAGUACAUGUAUGGAUUAAAACAAGAGCUAAAGUAGUGUAAUAAUAAUCACAAGGAAACAUCAGCACGUACAAAAGAAAAUAUAGGAUAUGAUAAUAGCCAUAGGAACUCAUUUAGGAAUUAUAUGAUAUAUGAACAGGUAGAAGCAUAAUUAAGAAUAUAAUUACUUCCCUCGCAAAAAAAGAAUAUAAUUACUUGCCUGGUCGACAAUUUAGCUAACUCCCUACAAGCCUCUAUAUAAGAAGAGGUAGUUCAAUUCCAGUCAUACAAACAAAUAAAGUCUUAUACAACGAAAGCACAUGAUGGCGCUAGCCGAUAACAGAAACCUUAGUUCUUGGGCUGCCAUAUUCGCCGUUGCUCUUCUAGUCAUGGCUACGGUUUCUUUCUACGAAGGAGUGUCAGGUUAGUGCACUAAGUCAUGCAAGUAUAUACUUUUAGAUGGAUUGUAUGCUAACGAUAUCGCUCAUUUGUGAAUAUGAAUGUAUGUGUAGAUGAAGUGAUGAGCCAUACCACUGGAAAUACAUGUGUGGCUGACUAUGAAUGUGAUCUGGCAUCGUGUGAAGCUAGGUGCCGGAACAUGAAGAUGGACCCAAGUGCAGCCUGCUGUGAGAUAAAGGCUGGAUUAGUUCCCUAUUGUUGUUGCGCCCACGACUACACGGGGCACAUCAGAUAUGAAAAUAAUGGAAAAUGAUCUUAAACCAUAAUUCAUGUAUCCUUCUGCAUGAUUGGUUAAUAAGAAUGAUAAGCCGAGAUUGCAUGGCCACAUAUUUGAAGUACUCUGUUUCUUUGACCAUGUGUGUUUGUUACAAAUUGAUAUAUAGUUUCAAUCAGAUUCAAAUAUUAUAUCCCGCACAUGUUUUCUAUGUUUGGAUUUCCUAAUGGACUCAACUUACCGUAAGACGCUUGGUUUGUUGUUGAAAAGGUCGGUUUGGAUUGAAGAAGAGGUAGCUAAAAAGUGCUACAUCCGUCCUAAAAUAAGUGACUCAACUUUGUACUAAAGUUAGUGCAAAGUUGAGUCAUUUUUGAGUCACUUAUUUUGGAAAGGAGGAAGUAUCAUGUAGUUUUCACAAAAAAUGUAUCAUGUACUCCCUCUGUAAAGAAAUAUAAGAGUAAAACACCAAACACUCUUAUAUUACUUUAAAGAGGGAGUAGUAAAUUGUGGAGUAGAUCUCAAUGUUAAUUAUCGAUAGUGGAAUUACAGAGGCUAGAAAUAAACACGAGUAAAAGGCGCUGGCGGUCUGAGAACUUGUGUUGCGGGUGCACCUAAGUCCCACUACUUGCAAACCGAAAAAACCCGUUACAGAACUUGCGUUUCGGGCUUAUCUAGGUCACAACCGCCAGUUAGACCGGUCCGCUGCCCGGUUUUCUUCGUUCGCGGUCAUGCGAGGCUCACGUGUGAGGUGAUUUUUGCACAGAAGACCCUAGUCGGUUUGCUAAUUAAUCACUUGGGACGUCCCUGCCUUAGGACACAUGAGGGAGGCGACAGGCGGCCGCGGUGCUGGUGCGUCGAGCUCGUCGNNNNNNNNNNCUGGACCGGUCCGCUGCCCGGUUUUCUUUGUUCGCGGUCACGCGAGGCUCACGUGUGAGGUGAUUUUUGCACAGAAGACCCUGAACGGUUUGCUAAUCACUUGGGGACGUCCCUACCUUAGGACAGAUGAGGGAGGCGACAGGCGGCCGCGGUGCUGGUGCGUCGAGCUCGUCGGCGGCAAGUAAUGACCUGAUGGAGGUGAUGGAGAGGCUGCCGAAGUUGAGGACAGAAGAGGUUGGCCAGCCGAUCUACGGUUAGUUCUACAGAGCUAACGUUGAAUCCAGGCUCCAGAUCUGCCUGACGUUGAAUCCAGGCUCCAGAUCACAACGUCAGGCAGAUCUGGAGCCUGGAUUCAACGUCAGGCAGAUCUAGAGCCUGGAUUCAACGUUAGCUCUGUAGAACUAACCAUAGAUCGGCUGGCCAACCUCUUGUGUCCUCAACUUCGGCAACAUGUCCAUCACCUCCAUCAGGUCAUUACUUGCCGCCGACGAGCUCGACGCACCAGCACCGCGGCCGCCUGUCGCCUCCCUCAUNNNNNNNNNNNNNNNNNNNNNNNNNNNNNNNNNNNNNNNNNNNNNNNNNNNNNNNNNNNNNNNNNNNNNNNNNNNNNNNNNNNNNNNNNNNNNNNNNNNNUGCUAGUAAUAUAUUGUAACAUAUAAUAUAUUUAGAAUUAAGCCUGCUGCCUAGUUAGAGGACACCACGUAGGAAGGUAACACUCAUACGGUCAUACCUUCUGCUUUGUAGACACGAUCGUUUAGCAGUUNNNNNNNNNNAGUGCUUGCAAUAUAUUAUAACAUAGUAUAAUAUAUCUAGAAUUAACUCUGCUGCCUAGUUAGAGGAUACCACUUAGGAAGGUAACGCUCAUACGGUCAUACCUUCUGCUUUGUAGACACGAUCGUUUAGCAGUUUUGCAAGUUCAUCUCUUAAAUUGAUUGGACGUUUGCAAGAUGUUUUCAGUAACUUGAAAAAUAUAUCAUGCUUGGUAUUUAUGCAUCUACAAAAAAAUUAUCCAUCAUUUCUCCUGCUCAUUAAUCCAAAAUAUGUUCCAGGCAAUGCAAGACCAACAUCCACAAGGAGACAUGUCAAAAUAGAGUGCCCUGAUUUUUUUUCCUGAAUGGGUCCAUGCUACAUUCAUGUGAUGUUCCGUUGAACUGCAAAGAGUAUUGACCUGGGAAAAAACAUGUCAAUGUAUGUAUUUUCUUUGACCUGAAAAAACNNNNNNNNNNUCCUGAUUUUUUUUUCCUGAAUGGGUCCAUGCUACAUUAAUUCAUGUGAUGUUCCGUUGAACUGCAAAGAGUAUGUAUUUUCUCUUAUUUUCUUUGACCUGGCUACUGGGAAAAAACAUGUCAAUGUAUGUAUUUUCUUUGACCUGAAAAAACGUCUUGAUGUAUGUAUUUUCAAAUGGUGGUCCAGUUCUGUAUCUCGCCAUCGAAUAUUUUGUUGUUUCGAGUAACACUAAAAUAUGUUUCUGGUUUUGGAUAUUGAAUUUCCGACAGUCCAUAAAUUACUGAGUUCCUGAGGGAAAACUGGGGAGUGAAGAACAAUAUUUUUUUCUGUGUCCAUAAAUGUCCCUAUCCUGUGAUGAUCUAAUAUUUNNNNNNNNNNAGUUUUGGAUAUUGAAUUUCCGACAGUCCAUAAAUUACCGAGUUCUUGAGGGAAAACUGGGGAGUGAAGAACAAUAUUUUUUCUGUGUCCAUAAAUGUCCCUAUCCUGUGAUGAUCUAAUAUUUGCCAUCUUGAUACUUGUACAUAGAUGAGUUGGUAGAAGAUAUAAUAAGCCUUGUAUACUGUUUCUUUCUACAUGUCUUCGCUAAAUUCUAUUAGUUCACCAAACACAGUUCCUCUUUGUUGUGCCUGCUUAUUGAAUCAAUAGCUCAGUACAAAUAAAAAAUGCUCUUUCGGGCUUUUAGAACAAAUCGUCAUUGUGUAACCAACAGCAUAAUAUGCGCGUUUUAGUACAUGAAAUCACCUGAAAACUAUUUCUUGCUUGACGGGUUUAACUAAANNNNNNNNNNNNNNNNNNNNNNNNNNNNNNNNNNNNNNNNNNNNNNNNNNNNNNNNNNNNNNNNNNNNNNNNNNNNNNNNNNNNNNNNNNNNNNNNNNNNUUCACCCCCUUAAACAAGGCAUUCACUUUGUUCCCUACCUGGAUCCUAAAUGCGACUACUUGUGGUCUUCAUCCUGGGCGUUGUCUCCAUCGUUCCUUGUAGACUCCCAGUCACUGCGUUUGCUAUCGUCGGCUCAUUCGUAGCUUGACGACAACACUCCUUCUUAGUCGCAUCUUCAAUCUUUACCUCUUCUUCGGUGCUUUGUAGACUGUCCUUCGAACCAUCGAGGGCACAUCUUUUGAACCCGAGCGUGACCAUACUUUGGUCUAACUUUGAAUUCCAAGCUCUUGGCGCUUGCUUCAACCCGUAAAGUGCCUUCUUGAGCUUGUAAACUUUCCCUUCUUCGCCUUUCUUCUCGUAGCCGAGGGGUUGUUCCACGUACACUUCUUCUGUGAGAUCGCCGUUGAGGAAAGCGAAUUUAACAUCCAUAUGAUGAACCUUCCAAUCCUCUUGUGCUGCCAAAGCUAGGAGCACUCUCACUGUCUCGAGUCGAGCAACCGGUGCAAACACCUCAUCAUAGUCAACUCCUUGACGUUGUACGUAACCCUUUGCAACGAGUCUUGCCUUGUACCUCACAAUGGCACCCUCCGUGUCCUUCUUUAACUUGUAAACCCACUUCAAACCUAUCGUCUUUUGGUUUGGAGGUCGGGUUACCAAAGUCCACGUGCCAUUGCUCUCAAUCGCCUUCAUCUCCUCAUCCAUGGCGUGCGUCCAGCUAGGACUUUUGCUCGCCUCUACGAAGUUCGCCGGCUCCUCAACUCCGAACAGACAUAGUCUGGAGUACUCGAGCGUAACUGGCUUUGUGUACUUGUAGACUUUCUUGAGGGUCUUGUAGCGACGAGGCUCUGAGGAGUCCGUUGUGCCUUGCGAAGGAGGCGACACAAAUUGUAUCGGCGUUGAUGCACUUGAGGAAGAUGGCUGAGACCCUGAUGUGUCAUCGACAUCCGUGUCGUCGGCAUAGUCGUCGUGAUCAUGACCAUCAUCUUGAUUGUCAUCGUCACUAUGCGCCUCGUUGUCUAUGUUGUCGUCGAGAUCUCCACCCGUGCCGUGCGCUUUGUUGUCGCUAUCUCCUUGCGACCUAUGCACGUCGUCGUCGGUGUCGGCACCAUGAUGAUCACUACCAUUGUGGCCACCUUGGUUCGGCGUCUUGCCAACCACCUGGACAUCUUCUCCUGCAUCAUCGUCAGUUGGAAAUUCAACUGCAAAUAUGUUACUGUUUGGAGCAUCGUCGGCUGCGGCGCUCCAAUUCCACGCUUGGUUUUCUUCAAACACGACGUCGCGUGAAAUCCGUAGACGCUUGGUUUGUGGAUCGUAGAAACGGUAUGCCUUGGUGCCGGAACUCCUCUUGUAUCCGAUGAACACCAUCUUGGUGCUACGAUCGGCAAGCUUUGAGAGAUGCGGCUCCGCCGUCUUCACAUGUGCCACACACCCGAACGUCCGUAGAUGAGACACAUUCGGCUUACGUCCGUAAAUUGCUUCAUACGGAGUCUUGCCGACGACCGCCUUCGUUGGAGCCCGGUUGAGAAGAUAGACCGCCGUCGAGACAGCUUCUCCCCAAAAAGUCCCCGGCAGGUUCUUGCUCUUGAGUAAACUCCUUGCCAUGUCAACGACGGUUCGAUUGCGCCUAUCAACGACCCCGUUCUGCUGCGGCGUGUAAGGUGCCGUGAGGAACCUCUUUAUGCCAAUCUUCUCGCAGUAGUCGUUGAACUCAUUCGACGUAAACUCUCCGCCGUGAUCUGUCCGUAGAGCGCGAACCUUCAACUUGUGUUCCAUCUCCGUUGCAGCCUUCAGCUUCUUGAAUGCUUCAAACGUCUCAUCUUUAGACCGUAGGAGAACGACCCACAUGUAUCUCGAGUAGUCAUCUACCACAAGGAAGAAGUACUUCUUUCCUCCGUGAGUUGCCGGGGUGAUAGGGCCACAUAGAUCACCAUGGAGCAGCUCGAGUGCAUCACUUGCACAAUACGUAGACUGAGCAGGGAACGGCCUGCGGUGCUGUUUUCCAACCAAGCACCCGUCACAUACUCGAUCAACAUGGUCGAUAACUGGCAUCCCUGGUACCAUCUCCAUAUUUGACAUCUUCUUCAAGGCGUAGAAGUUAACAUGUCCAAAUCUAGCAUGCCAUAACCACGAAUCAUCAUCACUCUUGGCGAGCCAACACUCCGGUUGAGAUUGAUCAAGGUUGAGGAUAUAGAUCCUGUUCCGUGUGCGACUAACACGAGUUAGCACGUUCCGGAGGUUGUCGAAGAUCGUCAUCACUCCGUUCUCAAUAUCCACCUUGCAUCCAUUCUCGUCAAGCUUCCCGAUAGGGAUGAUGUUGUUGCGAAGCCGUGGGAUGUAGUACACUCCGGUGAGUAUGCGAUGUUCGCCUGUGAGACCCUCGAAGAGGAUAGAUCCUUGCCCACAAAUCUCCACAUUUGAACCAUCACCAAACUUGACCGAGCCUUCAACAUCAUAUUCGAGCUCGACAAAUUUCUCCUUGCAUCCCGGCAUGUGGUUACUGGCACCGUGUCGAGAUACCACGACACGUUGUGAUUCCCGGAUAACUUAGGUGUCACAUUCUUCUCAUGAAGUAGCACCUUCCGGCUUGGUUUCACAACCACUGUUUCAGCGAGAUCACCAACUUUGGCCAUCCGAAGACCUGGACCUUCGUCUUCCUCCUUUGCCAAAUUUGUCUUGAUCUCCCGCUUGUCAGGCUCCGGACAAUUCUUUGCAAAGUGACCCAUCUCGUUGCAGUUAUAGCACUUGACCUCAGACAUAUCCAAGUUUCGUUGCUUUCGCCCUUUAGAUCGGUCUGCCUUACCACGACCUUGUGGUUUGCCUUUUUCUUUUCCUUCUCCGGUUUGUCCGCCGCGCGUUGCUUGAGCCUUCGUUGCCAUCACGCCUUCCUUUGCUACUUGGGGACUCCCAAUCUGCACGCGAGUGCAUGAGUUGGUCACUACCUCCUCCGUUGUCUUUUCGACAGCCACAAGCAUUCUCUUCCCACGUCCGCAGGCGUCCAAUCGCCUCCGUUAUGGUCAUGUCGUCGAUGUCGUAAAGCUGCUNNNNNNNNNNGAAAUUUCUCCUUGCAUCCCGUCAUGUGGUUACUGACACCCAUGUCGAGAUACCACGACACGUUGUGAUCCCCGGAUAACUUAGGUGUCACAUUCUUCUGAUGAAGUAGCAUCUUCCGGCUUGGUUUCACAACCACUGUUUUAGCGAGAUCACAAACUUCGGCCAUCAGAAGACCUGGACCUUCGUCUUCCUCCUUUGCCAAAUUUGCCUUGAUCUCCCGCUUGUCAGGCUCCGGACAAUUCUUUGCAAAGUGACCCAUCUCGUUGCAGUUAUAGCACUUGACCUCAGACAUAUCCAAGUUCCGUUGCUUCCGCCCUUUAGAUCGGUCUGCCUUACCAGGACCUUGUGGUUUGCCUUUUCCUUUGCCUUCUCCAGUUUGUCCGCCGCGCGUUGCGUUGCUUGAGCCUUCGUUGCCAUCACGCCUUCCUUUGCUACUUGGGGACUCCCAAUCUGCACGCGAGUACAUGAGUUGGUCACUACCUCCUCCGUUGCCUUUUCGACAGCCAUGAGCAUUCUCUUCCCACGUCCGCAGGUGUCCAAUCGCCUCCGUUAUGGUCAUGUCGUCGAUGUCGUAAAGCUGCUCGAGCGUGCCGAUGAUGUACGUGAAUUUUUCAGUCACUGAACUGAAAAAUUUCUCCACAAUCUCGGUCUCCUCGAGCUUUGCACCAAGCGCGCGGAUCUCUCCCACCAAAGUAGUAAGACACAUGGCAUAGUCGUUCACCGAUUCAGUUUCCUCCAUCUGCAACUUGUGAAAUUGGCGCUUCAGCACUUGUGCCCGAGCCUUGGUGACGCGAUCUUCUCCGAUCCUCAUCUCCUUGAGUGGGCGGUGAAGAUGAAGAUUAUUCUUUGACAUCUUCUUCAAGGCGUAGAAGUUAACAUGUCCAAAUCUAGCANNNNNNNNNNNNNNNNNNNNNNNNNNNNNNNNNNNNNNNNNNNNNNNNNNNNNNNNNNNNNNNNNNNNNNNNNNNNNNNNNNNNNNNNNNNNNNNNNNNNAGCAGGGCUCCGCCCGAGCUCCGCAGAAACGCGAUCUAGAGGAAAAACUAUGGAGGUAUGUGGUCGGGCAGCCGUGAGAAAGUCGUCUCAAAUCAGCCCUAAUUGCUCCAUAUAUAUAGGAGGAGGGAGGGGGACCUUGCCUUGGGGUCCAAGGGACCCUCAAGGGGUCGGCCGAGCCAAGGGGGGGAGGACUCCCCCCCCCAAACCGAGUUGGACUUGGUUUGGUGGGAGGAGUUCCCCUCCCUUCCCACUUCCUCCCUCUUUUUUUUUUCUUUUCCUUUGAUUUCUUUUUCUUCGCGCAUAGGCCCCCUUGGGGCUGUCCCACCAGCCCACUAAGGGCUGGUGUGACUCCCCAAAGCCUAUGGGCUUCUCCGGGGUGGGUUGCCCCCCCCCCCCCCNNNNNNNNNNNNNNNNNNNNNNNNNNNNNNNNNNNNNNNNNNNNNNNNNNNNNNNNNNNNNNNNNNNNNNNNNNNNNNNNNNNNNNNNNNNNNNNNNNNNNNNNNNNNNNNNNNNNNNNNNNNNNNNNNNNNNNNACAUUCCCGGUAACUCCGAAAACCUUCCGGUAAUCAAAUGAGGUCAUCCUAUAUAUCAAUCUUCGUUUCCGAACCAUUCCGGAAACCCUCGUGACGUCCGUGAUCUCAUCCGGGACUCCGAACAACAUUCGGUAACCAACCAUNNNNNNNNNNNNNNNNNNNNNNNNNNNNNNNNNNNNNNNNNNNNNNNNNNNNNNNNNNNNNNNNNNNNNNNNNNNNNNNNNNNNNNNNNNNNNNNNNNNNAAUAAACACUAACACACCACUAACUAUGUGAUCCCUGUCUCUCUCUCCUAGAAUCACCCCUGUAUGCGCAAACCUAGCAAACAUGCAAACACACGCACGAAGCUACUCCCUCUUUAUCUAAAUACUUAUAGUUGAAAAAAACUAGUCUAGUUCUCCGCAACUACAAGUAUUUAAAUAUAGAGGGAGUAGCUAACAACCUCAUACACAGCUAGCUAGCACACGGGCUCUCUCGGUCAGCACUUCUACCAACCGUUUAUCUUGAGCACUUACACUGCAUAGUUAUAUUAAUAUUGGUGCUAACAUAGUUUAUAUUGUGAGAAAUCAGUUGGUAAGUAGGCAUGCUAACUAUCCUGUGUUGGGUAACGUAGCGAAAAUUCAAAAUUUUCCUACGCCAUAUUCAAAUGUUCCUAUGAAGAGACCAGCAACGAGAGAGGGGUGAGAGCAUCUUCAUACCUUUGAAGAUCGCUAAGCGGAAGCGUUGCUAGAACGCGGUUGAUGGUGUCGUACUCGCUGUGAUUCAGAUCACGGUGUGAUUCCGAUUUAGUGCCGAACCACGGCACCUCCGCGUUCAACACACGUGCAGUCCGGUGACGUCUCCCGCACCUUGAUCCAGCAAGGAGGAGGGAGAGGUUGGGGAAGAGCUCCGGCAGCACGACGACGUGGUGGCGAUGGAGCGAUGAGGUCUCCCGGCAGGGCUUCGCCAAGCACCAUGGGAGAGGAGGAAGAAGAGAGACACGGCUGCGCCGAGAGAGAGAAAAAUUCGCGUAUCUCCAAUGGCCAAAAACCCCACUAUAUAUAGGGGGAAGGGGAGGGUGGCGCCCCCCUUAGGGUUCUCACCCCUAAGGGGUGCGGCAGCCCUAUAUGGGGGGAGGAGGUGGCGGCCAGGAGGGGAGGAGGGGUUGGCGCACCCCCUGCUGGGCCUUAGGCCCACCAGCGCUAGGGUUUCCCCCUUUUCCCUCUCUUGGGCGCCUUGGGUUGGGUGUGGGGGGCGCACCAUCCCCCCCAGGGGCUGGUUCCCUCUCACACUUGACCCAUGUAGCCUCCUGGGGCUUGUGGCCCCUCCCGGUGGGCCUCCGGAACCCUUCCGGUGGUCUCGACACUUUGCCAGUGGUGCCUGAAACAUUUCCGGCGUUCAAACCCAUCCAUCCUAUAUGUCUUUACCUCCGGACUAUUCCGGAGCUCCUCGUGACGUCCGGGAUCUCAUCCGGGACUUCGAACAACCUUCGGUAACCUCCUAUAACAAUUCCCUAUAACCCCAACGUCAUCGAACCUUAAGUGUGUAGGCCCUACGGAUUCGGGAGGCAUGCAGACAUGACCGAGACACCUCUCCGGCCAGUGACCAUCANNNNNNNNNNNNNNNNNNNNNNNNNNNNNNNNNNNNNNNNNNNNNNNNNNNNNNNNNNNNNNNNNNNNNNNNNNNNNNNNNNNNNNNNNNNNNNNNNNNNAGUCGCAAACCGGAUACGUAUUUAUUCUUAAUGGGGGUGCAGUAAGCUGGUGCAGUUCCAAGCAAAGCGUCGUAGCAGAUUCUACAUGUGAAGCAGAGUACAUGGCUGCCUCGGAGGCGGCUAAGGAGGGUGUCUGGAUGAAGCAGUUCAUGACGGAUCUUGGAGUGGUGCCAAGUGCACUGGAUCCAAUAACCUUGUUCUGUGACAACACUGGUGCCAUUGCCUUAGCAAAGGAGCCAAGGUUUCACAAGAAAACCAGACACAUCAAACGACGCUUCAACCUCAUCCGCGACUACGUCGAGGAGGAGGAUGUAAAUAUAUGCAAAGUGCACACGGAUCUGAAUGUAGCAGACCCGCUGACUAAACCUCUUCCACGGCCAAAACAUGAUCGACACCAGAACUGUAUGGGUGUUAGAUUUAUUACAAUGUAAUUCACAUGGUGAUGUGAAGGCUAGAUUAUUGACUCUAGUGCAAGUGGGAGACUGUUGGAAUUAUGCCCUAGAGGCAAUAAUAAAUGUAUAGUUNNNNNNNNNNNNNNNNNNNNNNNNNNNNNNNNNNNNNNNNNNNNNNNNNNNNNNNNNNNNNNNNNNNNNNNNNNNNNNNNNNNNNNNNNNNNNNNNNNNNGAAAUCUCUUUGUAAGAGAUGAGUUCUCGUUCGAAACCCUGCUACUUCGAGAGAGAUUGUCAGUUUUGUACACGAACUGCAUCCAGUUUUUGUCGUAGCCCUCUCAACUUUUUAACACAUGAUAUGUGGAUGAAAUGAUGAUAGCAUGCCAACUUUCAACAUUUUCAGAGUUCAUUUGUAGUGCUUUUCAAUUUCAGGGUCAACUAGCUCAAAAAAAAUAAGUAAAUGCACAAAAUAUACCAAGUGAAGUCAGAAAUUGUUGAAAUUUUGUGGUGUGCCUUUGAAUGGUGCAUUUUGAACACACAAAAAGUAUGGAGUUCAAAUAAGUUCAAAAAAAUGAAAUCCCUUUGUAAGAGAUGAGUUCUCGUUCGAAACCCUGCUACUUCGAUAGAUAAUAGUUUGGAUUGUCAAAAUUAUUGAUUAUGAAAAUAAAAAAUAGUUUUGCAUUAUUUAUUCAAUUUGAAACACUUUUCAUUAUCAUAGUUUUGUCAAAUUCUCAAAUAUGCAAAAAGAAUUUUUAAUAAACAUAGUUUUUAAUUGAAAAUAACAAAAUAGAUAAUAGUUUGGACAGUCAAAAUUAUUCAUUAUGAAAAUAAAAAAUAGUUUUGCAUUAUUUAUUCAAUUUGAAACACUUUUCAUUAUCAUAGUUUUGUCAAAUUCUCAAAUAUGCAAAAAGAAUUUUUAAUAAACAUAGUUUUUAAUGGAAAAUAACAAAAUAAGUUAAUAGUUUGGAUAGUCAAAAUAAUUAAUUUUGAAAAUUGGAAAAAAAAGAAUUUAUAUGAGAAAUCAUGGACAAAAUUCAACCUGAAUUCACUUUGAAUUCAGAUUGAAUUUUCUCCACAAUUUUGAACAUAGUUUCAAUUUUCAGUAAGAUUAGGCAUGUAAGCCUGCUUUAGAGAGGAGCUCGAUGGACAAGCUGCGAUGGGGCUUAUAAACAAGUGUUAGUCCCCCUCGCUGGGCGAGGUGGGACUAAAUUUAUCGUGCAGCCGAGGAGGGGCUUUAGUCCCGGGUGGAGCCACGCCCCGGGAAUAAAGACACCCUUUAGUCCCGGCUGGAGCCACGCACCGGGACUAAAGACCCCCUGCUUCCCGCCUCUUGGUCUGCCCGAAAAGAGGCCUUUAGUCCCGGGUCNNNNNNNNNNNNNNNNNNNNNNNNNNNNNNNNNNNNNNNNNNNNNNNNNNNNNNNNNNNNNNNNNNNNNNNNNNNNNNNNNNNNNNNNNNNNNNNNNNNNNNNNNNNNNNNNNNNNNNNNNNNNNNNNNNNNNNNNNNNNNNNNNNNNCUCGAGCCACGCACCGGGACUAUAGAUCCACCUAUAUAAGCGGGACUUCGAAAAUUUUCAACCCAAUUCGUCCAUUUCUCUUCUUCUUCCUCUCGUUCUCCUGCCCGGCGCGGCACAGCGACGAACUAACCGACGCCGUCAGGCUGCCCGCCGUCCUGCUCGCCGCCGCNNNNNNNNNNNNNNNNNNNNNNNNNNNNNNNNNNNNNNNNNNNNNNNNNNNNNNNNNNNNNNNNNNNNNNNNNNNNNNNNNNNNNNNNNNNNNNNNNNNNUUUAUGGACUGUCGGAAAUUCAAUAUCCAAAACUAGAAACAUAUUUUAGUGUUACUCGAAACAACAAAAUAUUCGAUGGCGAGAUACAGAACUGGACCACCAUUUGAAAAUACAUACAUCAAGACGUUUUUUCAGGUCAAAGAAAAUACAUACAUUGACAUGUUUUUUCCCAGUAGCCAGGUCAAAGAAAAUAAGAGAAAAUACAUACUCUUUGCAGUUCAACGGAACAUCACAUGAAUUAAUGUAGCAUGGACCCAUUCAGGAAAAAAAAAUCAGGACACUCUAUUUUGACAUGUCUCCUUGUGGAUGUUGGUCUUGCAUUGCCUNNNNNNNNNNGUCAAUACUCUUUGCAGUUCAACGGAACAUCACAUGAAUGUAGCAUGGACCCAUUCAGGAAAAAAAAUCAGGGCACUCUAUUUUGACAUGUCUCCUUGUGGAUGUUGGUCUUGCAUUGCCUGGAACAUAUUUUGGAAUAAUCAGCAGGAGAGAUGAUGGAUAAUUUUUUUGUAGAUGCAUAAAUACCAAGCAUGAUAUAUUUUUCAAGUUACUGAAAACAUCAUGCAAAUGUCGAAUCAAUUUAACAGAUGAACAUGCAGAGCUGCUAAACGAUCGUGUCUACAAAGAAGGUAUGACCGUAUGAGCGUUACCUUCCUAAGUGGUAUCCUCUAACUAGGCAGCAGAGUUAAUUCUAGAUAUAUUAUACUAUGUUAUAAUAUAUUGCAAGCACUCUCUGUCCCUGUUGCAUGUGGUGAUGUCAGCAGCAUAUCAUAGUUAGANNNNNNNNNNUUGCAAACGUCCAAUCAAUUUAAGAGAUGAACUUGCAAAACUGCUAAACGAUCGUGUCUACAAAGCAGAAGGUAUGACCGUAUGAGUGUUACCUUCCUACGUGGUGUCCUCUAACUAGGCAGCAGGCUUAAUUCUAAAUAUAUUAUAUGUUACAAUAUAUUACUAGCACUCUGUCCCUGUUGCAUGUGGUGAUGUCAGCAGCAUAUCAUAGUUAGANNNNNNNNNNGUCAGCAUCAUAUCAUAGUUAGAUCGUCCAUUAACCAAAUCAACACCACUCGUCUACCUGAUUAAAGUCGGCUGAUAUUAGCUAAUAAACAAAAACACACGAUUAUAUGCAAAAAGUUCCACGUCGGUGGCCACUAUACAAAAUUGUAGAAGCAUCCAGAGAUACUACACAUAAGAGUAUUCUCAGUGUCAACCAGAACACAUUCACAUCAUACAUAAUUGAAGAACCAACCAGCCCUUUUCCUUUGUUUCAGUCAACCCAUUUUGUAUUACUCUAAAAAAAAGAAAAUUUUGUAUGNNNNNNNNNNNNNNNNNNNNNNNNNNNNNNNNNNNNNNNNNNNNNNNNNNNNNNNNNNNNNNNNNNNNNNNNNNNNNNNNNNNNNNNNNNNNNNNNNNNNCCUCGAACCAAACGUCGCCACGAACCCGUGGCUCCGUCGGCUCCUCCAGCGGCCUCGAGUGCCCCGCCAGCUCCUCCUGUGGUUCCGAGUGACUUGCCAGCUACUCCCGUGGUUCCGAGUGCUCAGAGCACAAAGAGGACUAGGGACUCUGCUGCUGAGCCCGCGGGCCAGCCCUCUAAGGUGGCCAAACUGAGUGGAUCCAAGCCUCGGAAGGCUUUGCCGCGGAUGAGGAUCGCCGUUCCCGUCGCCUCAGCGUAAGUGCAUUGUUCUUCUAUCUUCUUCUAGUAUUUGAUUGAACUCAUGCUUAUCGGUCGAAUGAAUUUAACUUGACAGAGCUGCCACCUCCGCCACUUCUGUGCCGCGCCAGGAAGACGAUCCCAUGGAUACGGACAAUGUUGUCACGUCCCAGCAAGGUAUGUCGUGGCGACUCCGAGAGCUUACAUUAUUGUUUCGCAAAUUCCGUCUUUGGUCUUGCCCUUUUUUUUGUGGUCUCACGUCGUUUGGUCGGGCUUCCUUCAAAGGUGAUCCAUGUGGAGGACGAUGACCAGAAGAGGUCCGAGCAAGCUGUGGCGCGUGUCCUUGAGGCUGUUCCGUCUGUUACUACCCCCGCCAUGGACGCGCCGCCAACUGAGACGAUACCGUCGACUGACACGACGCUCAUCGUUGCUGAACCGACUGGAGCAGGACUUGGGAUGCCCAAGGAGUCUCUUGUGGUGCCAGGUCUUUCGACCGUCCAGUUCGACGCCCGGCGCCUUCCGGAGGAUCAGGUGGGAGCUGCCAAGGGGGCCAUGGUGCAGGCGGAGUUGAUGGCGGGUGAUGCCAAGAGAGCGUACGACUCCAUCGCGUCUGUGUACAAGCGAAGCUUGGAACUCCGGGACGAUAUCCGAGUAAGUGGGCUAGUAAGUAUUUGCUUUCCCCUUUAACCCACUGGGUGUUUAAGCCAGAUACUCGGAUACAGAAUGAUUAGUUUGCGGUGGGUUCACUCUUAGUGAACCCAGUGGGUGUAGUCCCCGAGACUUCUGUCGAGUGCUUGCACCGGCAGUUGUCUUUAUAUAAAUUUUCUUUUAACUUGAUCAGAUCAAAACUAAUCUGCUCGAAUGUUACCGGUGGGGGCAUUCCGAGUGCACCUACUGGUUUAGUCCCCGAGAGUAAUUUUACUUAGGUCGGGUAGUAGUAACCUCAUAGGCUUGUUUUUUGUUAUGUAUCUCAAUACGGCGGACCUGUUUGAGCUUCAUGCCAGUGGGGCCACUCUUAGUGAACCCACUGGGUGUAGUUCCCGAGACUGCUGUCGACUGCUUGCGUCGGCAGGGGUCUGAAGAACUUCGAGUUUGUAUUGUUGUCUUUGUUGAAUUUGUCUGAUCGUCUCUUCGCGCUGACUUGCAGAAGACUUGCGAGAUGGGAUCAGCGUACGAAACUCUGAGAGCUGAAAAGAUUCAGUUUGCUGCGGAACUGGAUGCAGCAAUGCUUGCCUUGGCUGGUAUGAAGGGUGUUCUGGCUGAACGAGAGAAGUCCUUGGAGGAGUCCCGUGAGGCAAACAAGGCAUUGGUGGCCGAAGUGGAGAAAAUGGGGAAACAAAGAACUGAGCUGAUGGGACAGAUGCAGGUGAUGAACAGGCGGUGCAUAGCACACGAGAAGUACGUCAGUGACUGGGCAAGGCAGAUGAUUGCGCUUCUCGGUGGUAAGUUCUGUUUUUCCGAGUGUUUGUUGACUGUGUAGUUCAUUCUGCACUUACUUGCUGCUCGUCUUGUCAUUGCAGAUUUUUGUAUGGACGCUGAGGCUGAAGCAGCUGACGUGGAGCGGUCGGUUAUUCCGAACGUUCCACGCGGCGAUGACGCCAAUCGAGACAUGCUGCGAGCGCACAUUCGCCUGGGUAAAGUGGGACCUUUCAUCGGUCGACUGAGAGAGGUCGUCGGCCGAAUCGACAAGGAGCUGUGGCCCGAAGACGAGUCUCGGCAAGAGAUGGAAGGGUUGAUGACUCGGCUGGAGGAGGUCCCUAACCGAGUGCAGGCGUGGAAGAAGUCUGUGACUCGCUGUGGUGCGGAUGUGGCGCUGUCCUGGUCCGAGUGCACUGCAAGGAGGCUCGCGAAGAGAAGCUGAAGGCGUUGGAGGUCGCAAACACCAAGAAGCUUCGAUUCGAAGAUUUCAUGGAGACCUUCCUUGAGAGCGCCACUCGCAUCGCAGAGGGGAUUGACCUCGACACUUUCGUGGAGCCUGCCAGUCCCAGUGCCAGUCCUGAUGACUCUUGAGAAAACUUUUACCUCGGUAUGCCGAUUGUUAGCUGUAUGAAACUUUGGCCACUGCUGUUGGCCGUCACAUUCGUGGUUCGGUGUGGAUAAGCUUGAUCUACACCGAACCAACUAUCUUUAGACGAACUUUGAAUUUGAAUCAAAUCUUUUGCUCUUCCUUUGCCAAAGAGUUGUUGACACGAUUUUGGCUCGUGGUUUUUGUUUGGCGUUUCUUGGUGAAGUCAAUGGCAAACAUGCGGAGCAUGUAAUUGUCAGUUGUCUUGAUAUCUGCAUGAGCCUCACUGAGGGUCUGCUGGGUCUCCGAGUGGAUCUGUAGGAUACACUCGAAGGCAAUUGUGUACUUAGGCGAUUCGUGAUCGCGGCUAAGUCUUCGAGUGCGACUGUAAGGUCGUACUCGGAGCGAGUUGUUACUCAUGUAAUUGUUAGUUGUCUUGACAUCUACAUGAGCCUCAAUAAGGUUCUGCUACUCAUGUAAUUGUCAGUUGUCUUGACAUCUACAUGAGCUUCAAUGAGGGUCUGCUGGGUCUCCGAGUGGAUCUGUAGGAUACACUCGAAGGAAGCUUUCUAUUUAGGCGAUUCUUGAUCGCAGACAAGUCCCCGAGUGCGACGUUUAGUGCACAUUCGGAGAAAGUUAGUACUUAGGCGAUUCUGGAUCGCGUCUAAGUCUCCGAGUGCGACGUUUAGUGCACACUCGGAGAAAGUUUGUACUUAGGCGAUUCUUGAUCGCAGCUAAGUCUUCGAGUGCGACGUUUAGUGCACACUCAGAGAAAGUUCGUACUUAGGCGAUUCUUUAUCGCAGCUAAGUCUCNNNNNNNNNNNNNNNNNNNNNNNNNNNNNNNNNNNNNNNNNNNNNNNNNNNNNNNNNNNNNNNNNNNNNNNNNNNNNNNNNNNNNNNNNNNNNNNNNNNNUAUAUAUAUAUAUAUAUAUAUAUGUGUGUGUGUGUGUGUGUGUGUGUGUGUGUGUGUGUGUGUGUGUGUGUCAGUAACUUAUCAAUUACACUUAUAAGUGAAUGGACACAACAGAGUAAAGACCCUCACCUGAAGUUGUAUGGAAACAGUAUGUGGUCAAAGAAAUUUUGAUCUGUUAGAAACCUUAGAAGGUUUUCCUCCGUCUCCUUGGGUUUGUCAGUUAGCGUCGCUAUAUGUAUUUUAUCUGGGUCAAUAAACCCAAUAUUUAGGAUGCUCUUACUUUUACACUCCAGAAUCUUCAUUCUGCAUAAUAGAGUACAAGUUAUAUAUAAACAAUGAAUUGAAAUAACUAAAAAAGUUAUAUGUAGACAACGAAUUAAAAAACUUACAGACAAUAGCAACUCAUAAGCGAUUUGUCGAGGGCGUCGCCAUUGUACAUCUGGAAGAGUUCAUCAAAGUCGAUAUGGAUUUCUUUGGAGCGGCCGUAGUACUCCCGUGGGACACUCAGCACGAUCAUCGUUCUCCCAUUCUUUGAUUCACUUAAGUACCAUUUAUGCAAGUAACGCAUAUUUGUUGGGAGAUCAUCUUUGCUGACCAAAGGCUGUCCCAUGACAAACUGUGGCUUAGGGGCUACCACAGCCUUGGGUAUCCUGUCGUCUUGGGAAGCCAGCAAAUCUUCAACCGAGAUACCACAUUCAUCCGCCAACUCCUUUGCUCUUUCAAAAGCUUGCCCCAGCACCGGAGGGGGAACAUUCUCGGUUAACACCUUGAGGGGUGGGAUCAACUGUUUGGCCUGUUGUCCAAGCUGAGGAACGUCUGAUUUUUUCUUGCUUGUAGUUGAACUUGAUUUGCUCCCACUUGCACUUGCACAUGAGCUGCUGUUUUUCACUUCCUUCUGCAAUGUGCGUGUAUAGUCAUCAGGCUUAUAGUGUAAGUCGUACUGUGAUGGAGUGGUUAUGAAGUCUUUUGCAAAUGCUAUUUGCUUCUCGGUGUAUUCCGUGCGGGGCUCGGGUUCCUUCUUUUUCAUCUGCGCAUCAUGAUGUUCCUUUGCUAUCCUGGCAUUUUUCUCGGGGGUACGAUCAUAAGGUCUGAUAGGAAGAUUAGCAUGAGGUACCUUUGGGAGGGGCGACAGUUUGCGCUUUGGGGAGCUCCGUCGCUUAGAAAUCAUCGACGGAGCGUUCUUGCUGGCACGCUUCCGCUUAGUAUCAUGUGCGGGCGGCGGCGGAGACGGACGACCCAAGUCCGGCGGCGGUGAUCGAGAUGGACUCGUGUNNNNNNNNNNNNNNNNNNNNNNNNNNNNNNNNNNNNNNNNNNNNNNNNNNNNNNNNNNNNNNNNNNNNNNNNNNNNNNNNNNNNNNNNNNNNNNNNNNNNGAACCUUGUAUGCUUUGCCUUCUUCUUCCCGUUCGACUGUGAGAACAGUGCUGACGACUUGAUUUGUAGCCGCGAUGUACAGAAGAAGGGGUUCUUUACUGAGCGGAGCAGUAAGAACCGGUUGGGUGGAAAGUAGGACUUUGAGGUCGUCGAAUGCGAUUUGGGCUUCGUCUGUCCACUCGAAAGUAUCUGAUUUCUUCAUGAGUCGGUACAGAGGAAGUGCCUUCUCGCCGAGUCGACUGAUAAACCUGCUCAAAGCCGCUAGGAAACCUGUGAGUCUUUGAACAUCGUGUAUUCUGACCGGCCGCUCCAUUCGGACGAUGGUCCCGAUCUUUUUGGGGUUGACAUCGAUCCCUCGUUCGGAAACGAAGAAACCGAGUAACUUUCUGGGAACGCCGAAUGAACACUUGGCUGGAUUGAGCUUGAUAUCGUACCUACGAAGGUUGGCGAAUGUUUCUGCCAAGUCAGUCAGCAGGUCGGAACCUUUGCAUGACUUGACUACGAUAUCAUCCAUAUACGCCUCCGCAUUCUGACCGAUCUGGUCGAGGAGGCAUUUUUGGAUCAUGCGCAUAAAGGUUGCUCCUGCAUUCUUCAAACCAAAUGGCAUAGUGAUAUAGCAGAAGCACCCGAAUGGGGUGAUGAAGGCUGUUUUUAAUUCAUCGGGGCCAUACAGACGGAUCUGAUGAUAGCCCGAGUAGGCAUCAAGGAAUGACAACCGCUUACAACCAGCAGUCGAAUCGACAAUUUGAUCGAUGCGGGGGAGCGGAAAAUGGUUUUCGGGCAGACCUUAUUGUUGGAAUUAUGCCCUAGAGGCAAUAAUAAAUAUAGUUAUUAUUAUAAUUCCUGUAUCAAGAUAAUCGUUUAUUAUCCAUGCUAUAACUGUAUUGAAUGAAGACUCAUUUACAUGUGUGGAUACAUAGACAAAACACUGUCCCUAGCAAGCCUCUAGUUGGCUAGCCAGUUGAUCAAAGAUAGUCAGUGUCUUCUGAUUAUGAACAAGGUGUUGUUGCUUGAUAACUGGAUCACGUCAUUAGGAGAAUCACGUGAUGGACUAGACCCAAACUAAUAGACGUAGCAUGUUGAUCGUGUCAUUUUGUUGCUACUGUUUUCUGCGUGUCAAGUAUUUGUUCCUACGACCAUGAGAUCAUAUAACUCACUGACACCGGAGGAAUACUUUGUGUGUAUCAAACGUCGCAACGUAACUGGGUGACUAUAAAGAUGCUCUACNNNNNNNNNNNNNNNNNNNNNNNNNNNNNNNNNNNNNNNNNNNNNNNNNNNNNNNNNNNNNNNNNNNNNNNNNNNNNNNNNNNNNNNNNNNNNNNNNNNNACCCAGUGUGAUUAUCGUUUUCAAGUGAGUAAACAUUCUAUUUGGAAAGAGCUCCUCCAACUGGAUGUUUUUCUGCAGAGACACCCAUGUGACAACACCAUUACAGUUUGAUUUCCUCUCCCAUAAUUGGAUGGUAAGAUCUGACAAAUAUGCGAGGCCAAGUCUGUUAUCAUGUGUGCGUAAGGGCUGAACUAAUCCAUAGGAGUCGGUGUUAAUAUGGCUGUCUACGGGCUUCUCGAUCAUAUCAAGGAGCUGAGUUUGAAGAUCAAACACAAUGACUUUACCACCAGAAAGCAUCCAGAAAAGUGUAUUCCCAACAAGGAUGCCAGGCCUUAUGCAUACCAUGAAAUCUGUAGACUCCAUGGAGACAAUGUCUCCCCAUAAACCAGAUGCGGAUUCAUAGAGGCAAGCGAAUGCUUUUGUGAAUCCAAUGACCCAGAUCAAGACCAAUUUGAGCGGGCCCGAGAAGCAAUUGCCGUGCGCGUGCCCUUGUUGGGCAUCGGCGCAUAUCACCUCGGCCUGCCAGUACACCCAGUGGAUAUCCGGGUCGAACAUGAGCCCGCGUGGACUAGCCACACGGUGCUGUAAGCCGGUGAUGGGAUCCCACACCAUGACCUCACGAAGCCACAUGUUGAGUAGGAUGGCGAGGCCGUGGCGGCUAACAAAUCCUGCCAGACCGUUUACCUGCUGUUUAUUUCCCUUCUUCAGUUUCGUCAGAAAGAACGCUGCAGCCGCAGCCGUAGCUAGGUUAGUUACACAUUCAGUUAGANNNNNNNNNNNNNNNNNNNNNNNNNNNNNNNNNNNNNNNNNNNNNNNNNNNNNNNNCCGGCGAAUCGAGGACAGGAGUGAAGUGGUGCUCCGUGCUCACGGAAUACCCUCUGAAGAAGCCGAGCAGUGGAGGUUUUUGGUGGUGCUUACGGAAGCGUUUGCCAAAAUCAGGGUCGGAGACGACGCUGAGCCAGCGCCGGCACACGAGGGAAGCGCGCGGGAGGGAGGAUGGCUGCGGAGGGAGGCGCAGGAGGAUCUCCGGCAGAAGGUACUCGUCUUCCAGCGGGGGCGCCGAGGAACGGAGGCGGCUCAUACUCAUACCUAAGUCUGUACUCUGUAGCAAAGAUCGGAAGAGAAUCAUCAAUCAAGAAUUCUAAACCAAAUCAAAAUUGGAAAAAGCAGGAGCCAGCGGCAGUCACCGUUUCUUCUUCCAGAUCCCCGGCCGGAGCGCCGCCGUUGGUCGCCUGGACGAAUUAGGGUUUGAGCAANNNNNNNNNNNNNNNNNNNNNNNNNNNNNNNNNNNNNNNNNNNNNNNNNNNNNNNNNNNNNNNNNNNNNNNNNNNNNNNNNNNNNNNNNNNNNNNNNNNNUCGGAGAAGAUCGCGUCACCAAGGCUCGGGNNNNNNNNNNGAAUAAUCUUCAUCUUCACCGCCCACUCAA